GACGAACGCUGGCGGCGUGGAUUAGGCAUGCAAGUCGAACGGUAGGAUACCUUCGGGUAUCUGAGAGUGGCGAACUGGUGAGUAACACGUAGGUUAUCUACCCUCAAGACGGGGACAACCCAGGGAAACUUGGGCUAAUACCGGAUGUGAGCAACUUUUAGUUGUUUGAAAGGUGGCGUAAGCUGUCGCUUGGGGAUGAGCCUGCGUCCUAUUAGUUAGUUGGUGAGGUAACGGCUCACCUAGGCAAUGAUAGGUAGGCGGCCUUAACGGGUGGUCGCCCACACUGGGAUUGAGAUACGGCCCAGACUCCUACGGGAGGCAGCAGUCGAGAAUAGUCUACAAUGGUCGGAAGACUGAUAGUGCGACGCCGCGUGAACGAUGAAUCCCUUCGGGGUGUAAAGUUCUUUUAUAUGUGAGCAGUGCUUCUUAUAUUAACAGUAUGGGGAGAGAGAUAUUAGCAUAUGAAUAAGCAACGGCUAACUCCGUGCCCAAGCAGCCCGCGGUAAAACGU
rnacentral:rRNA from 1 species